rnacentral:rRNA from 1 species
CCUACGGGUGGCAGCAGUCGAGAAUCAUUCACAAUGGGGGAAACCCUGAUGCUGCGACGCCGCGUGGGUGAAUGAAGGUCUUCGGAUUGUAAACCCCUGUCAUGUGGGAGCAAAUUAAAAAGAUAGUACCACAAGAGGAAGAGACGGCUAACUCUGUGCCAGCAGCCGCGGUAAUACAGAGGUCUCAAGCGUUGUUCGGAACCACUGGGCGUAAAGCGUGCGUAGGCUGUUUCGUAAGUCGUGUGUGAAAGGCGCGGGCUCAACCCGCGGACGGCACAUGAUACUGCGAGACUAGAGUGAUGGAGGGGGAAGCGGAAUUCUCGGUGUAGCAGUGAAAUGCGUAGAUAUUGGGAGGAACACUCGUGGCGAAGGCGGGUUCCUGGACAUUAACUGACGCUGAGGCACGAAGGCCAGGGGAGCGAAAGGGAUUAGAUACCCGGGUAGUC